AUUGAACGCUGGCGGCAGGCCUAACACAUGCACGUCGAACGAGUGGCGGACGGGUGAGUAAUGUCUGGGAAACUGCCCGAUGGAGGGGGAUACCUACUGGAAACGGUAGCUAAUACCGCAUACCAUCGGAUGUGCCCAGAUGGGAUUAGCUAGUAGGGGGGGUAAAGGCUAACCUAGGCGAAGAUCCCUAGCUGGUCUGAGAGGAUGACAGGCCACACUGGAACUGAGACACGGUCCAGACUCCUAGGGUAGGCAGCAGUGGUGAAUAUUGCACAAUGGGCGCAAGCCUGAUGCAGCCAUGCCGCUUGUAUGAAGAAGGCCUUCGGGUUGUAAAGUACUUUCAGCGGGGAGGCGUUACCCGCAGAAGAAGCACCGGCUAACUCCGUGCCAGCAGCCGCGGUAAUUC
rnacentral:rRNA from 1 species